AAAUAGGGUGUCAGUGACUCUCAGACAGACACUUACAUCCACAUGCAUAUGUAACUUGUCUCUCUGUUUUCUGAUUCCUCUGCUUUUCUUCCAAACCUCAAAAAACCCUUUUGUUUUUGCCUUUUAAUUUCUUCCAUUUCCAAAAUAUUCCUUUGGAUUUCAAUUCCCAGGCAUGGCAUCCUACGAUAAGCCUGAAGUUGUUGAAAGGGAUAUUAAGGACAAGGAGCAUGAGGAGGAUGACAAACCCAUAGUUGUUGAAAGGGAUGUUAAGGACAAGGAGCACAAGGAGGAUGACAAACCCGAAGUUGCUGAAAGGGAUGUUAAGGACAAGGAGCACAAGGAGGAUGAUAAAGAGGAAGGGAAAGGUGGUUUUCUUGAAAAGGUGAAGGAUUUCAUUCAUGACAUUGGCGAGAAGAUUGAAGGAGCUAUUGGAUUUGGGAAGCCAACUGCAGAUGUGACAGGGCUUCACGUCAAUUCUAUGACUCUUGAAAAAGCGGAGUUUGUCAUUGAAAUUCUCAUAAAGAACCCAAAUCCGGUUCCUAUCCCUCUGAUUGACAUAAACUACUUGAUUGAGAGUGAUGGAAGGAAACUUAUUUCAGGGUUGAUCCCAGAUGCUGGAACGAUCAAAGCACAUGGUGAGGAGACUGUCAAAAUACCAGUUACUCUGAUUUAUGAUGACAUAAAAAACACAUAUUCUGAAAUUAAGCCCGGAAGCAUCAUUCCAUAUAGGAUCAAGGUUGAUCUCAUUGUGGAUGUGCCUGUUUUUGGAAGAAUAACUCUACCACUUGAGAAAACUGGAGAGAUCCCUAUACCUUACAAGCCUGAUAUUGAUAUUGAGAAAAUAAAGUUUGACAGAUUCUCCUUUGAAGAAACUGUUGCAGUACUUCACUUGAAACUGGAAAAUAAGAAUGAUUUUGACUUGGGGCUUAAUGACCUAGACUAUGAGGUUUGGCUGUGUGAUGAAAGCAUUGGAUCUGUAGACCUCCAAAAAUCUGCAAAUCUUGUGAAAAAUGGAAUCACUUAUAUUGAUAUUCCCAUCACCUUCAGGCCUAAGGACUUUGGCUCUGCACUUUGGGACAUGAUUAGAGGAAAAGGCACUGGUUACAGCAUGAAAGGAAAUAUUAAUGUGGAUACACCCUUUGGAGCAAUGAAGCUGCCCAUCACCAAGGAGGGUGGUACUACCCGUAUCAAGAAGAACAAAGAAGAUGGUGGUGAUGAUGAUGACGACGAUGAGGAAUAGAGGCGACAUUGGCAGGAGUGGUCAUAUUAGUAGCUGUGGUCUGUUUAUCAGUAGUGGUCUAUUAGAAUAAUAGAUAAAUAGGCACUUGAACUUGUGGUUUUUACAUAUAGCAGUGAUGUACAUCUCUUGCAAGGUGAAGUUUAGUAGUUUUAUAUAUGUGUGUUUAUGAAUGUAUUAUUCUGAUGGAUAUGAGGUCUGGCGCUUUUUAGCUUGCAUGCCCACUCUAUUGUUGAGAUGUUUGAGCAGGGGAUGAAAUUGUUGUCUUUCACUUGUGAUGUUGUUGAUAUUAAUGAAUCGACUUACCAUAAGAUAAUACUAGAGUGCUUCAUUUCUUUUCAAACA